GCUGAAGUAGCUCAGUUGGGAGAGUGUUAGACUAAAGAUCUCAAGGUCCGUGGUUCAAUCCCAGUUUUCAGCA